rnacentral:lncRNA from 1 species
GCCAACCUGAUGACUGGCGGCUGAGGAGUGGGGUGAUGAUGCCACUGGCAGAAGCAGGCGCCCUGGCCCAAGGAGGAGGCCCUUCAGCAACGGAGUGGGCCUGCAUUCUGCGGAGGUUGUUGAGGAAGGAGGGAGUAGAUGGAGGGCUCUUUUCACCAGAAGACCCCCAGGCACAAGCAGCCCACCUUACUGAUGGUCAGAGCAUCCAGAAGAAGUGGCAAGACUUCAGCUGUCCUCAAAGCAGGAAGACAGAGUGUUUCUGGCAGAAAGAACAGCACAAGCAAAGAUCUGGUAACCCUAGGUGCCUCCAGUUUGAGGGAGGAGAGAGGACACCCCCUCCACCCCAGACAUAGGAAAGCAGUCCACCUGCGCACCAGGGGCAGGACACGUGGCUGGGUGCAGACGCUGGCCCGGAUGUCGCGGAGGACUCGCGGGCCGGUAGAGCGCGCGGCGGCGGCGGCGGCGGCGGCGGCGGGAGGAGACGCAGGUCACGCCCCCUUCCCACCACCUCCCGCCGCCGACGGGGCGCGCGCGCCGAGGAGCCCGGGACAGGUGACUCCUAGAGGACUGCGUCUGCGCCUCCCCCGGCGGGAGUCCCUUCUUCGCGGCCUCUGCCGCCCCCUGCGUCCCCUCCUGGGCUUCCGAGAGUCUGACUCAGCCAAGCCGGCAUCGCUUCGCCUCCUACAACACACCCCGAGCGCGAGAAGAAAUUACAGGAUUGCAGGGGCACGGCUAAUGCGCUCUAAUUACCCACCGCCGCUGUCAUCCGCGGCGCUCCGCGGCGCUGGGCCAACGCGCCGUAAUUAAGACGCCGCUCCCCGGUCCCGGAACCCUCCCUUCGCCACCCUCCACCCACCCACCUCGCGGUCCCCAGGACCACUGGCUGCCAACUCCUGCCGCCCUCUGGGACUGCCCCUCAGUCCCAGGAGAGCUAUGAGGCCUCACUGGGGGCAGAACUUGGGGAGACCGAAGCCGGCCCUUCCACUCCCCUAAACCUACAGUCCUGGAAGGUCUCUGCUGGAAGAGACUGGGAGAGUGGGGAGGGGCCAGGGACCUAUUUCGUUGACAGAAACAGUGAGGUCUAUUGGAAAGUUAGCCUUCAGUGGGAGGAGUGGCAAAGGCACGCAGGGCAGCAGUACCCCCGUUUGGCACUUGAGGCACGGAGAAGGGAAGGGAAGUCCGCCCAGCCAGAACUCCCAGACCCGCUCGUUUAACAGUGGCUUUAUGAGCAGCACGACGGACUCCCUCCCCUGGCGGGGAAAUUACCUUCCUGCGAAGAAAGGUGACAUCCCCGCCACAGACACGGAGGCCCCGCCUGCUGGCCAGCUGUGGCCGCCAUAGGGGAGCUGGUGAGGAGUGAGGUGGCUCUGGCCUCCCAUGUCAGGUAGGGUGAGAGAGGCCCUGAAGAUAGAAGCCAGGCCCGAAGGCCAGAAUUAAAGGGGUAGCUUGGCCAUCAGCUCCUUCCCCCAAAACCAGGCUCAGAGCUCUCCUCUAUCAGCAAUUCUUUCCUGAGGUCCAGGGUGUUGCAAACUCAUGGCCUUGGGCCACGUUUUACCUUCAGUGAGGUUUUGUUUGGCUUGCAAUGAGUACAUGGGUUUUAGGUUGAAUGUGAGAGUCUGCAGACAAUGUGGGUUCUCCGACUGCCCUCCCAGUGAAGGUGGACCUCUGAUUUAGACCGGCCCGCUGGGCCCGUGCCUACAUCCUUUUCCUCAGCGUCAGGAUCUUAGUCCCCAUGAUUGCUGCCCCUUUGUGGUCUGCAUGUUUCUUGGUAAGGGUGCCCAGUCAAGUGUCUCUGGGAGCCCCCUCUUCUCUGUCAUCGUCAGGCUCCCCACUUGCAGUGGCCGUGGUGGCUGCACAUGCUCCCGGAUACCCCUCCAGCACUCCCUUUUGUCAUCUUGAGUUUCAGUCCGUGACUUGGGUGGCACCCUAUCUUCUCCAUCAGGGAUGGUAGCUAUUUUUCUGCCAUGAGACUAGAGGUUGCUUGAGAACAGGAAAUUGGAUCUCUCCCUUCAGGCUGGGAUUUCACUAAGGGCUGGAGAAGGGGGGAAUAUGGGAGGAUUAUCUCCUAUCACAGGGAGCGCUCUGAGGGCAAGGCUGUGUCUCCGAUUCAGACUGACGGUUCCCUGAGGAUGGGGCUGUUUCUCCCCUCCGACUGGGGCUCCCUGAGGAUGGGGCUGUUUCUCCCCUCCGACUGGGGCUCCCUGAGGACAGGGCUGUGUCUCCCCUCAGCCUGGGGCUCCCUGAGUCAGGGCUGUGUCUCCCCUCAGACUGGGGCUCCCUGAGGACGGGGCUGUGUCUGCCUCAGACUGGGAAUCCCUGAAGAUGGGGCCGUGUCUCCCUCAAAGUGGGGCUCCCUCAGGACAGCGUUGUGUCUCCCCUCAGACUGCGGCUCCCUGAGGACGGGGCUGUGUCUCCCUCAGACUGGGGCUCCCUGAAGAAAGGGCUGCUUCUCCCUCAGACUGGAGCUCCCUGAAGAUGGGGCUGUGUCCCCCUCAGACUGGGGCUGCCUGAGGAUGAGGCUGCAUCUCCCCUCAGACUGGAGCUCCCUGAGGGCAGGGCUGUCUCCCCCCUUCAGACUGGGGCCUCCCCCAAAGGACAGGGACUGUGUCUCCCCUGGGACUAGGUUCUUUGUGUCUUCUGCAUCAGACAGAUUCCCAUGAGGACAGGGCUGUCUCCCCCUCCAUCUGGAGCUCCCUGAAGGCAAUGGCCUCUCCCCUCAAAUGGGACAUUUGCACCCCACCCCACCCUCUGGCUCCCCAUGGCGCCCAGGCAUUCCUCCCAGGACACCAUUUGUCACGCUUUGAUGAAUGAAACUUACUAAGAAUAACUCAGUCCUUGUAGACUCUAAAGGACAGGGGGAGGGAGAGGGAGGAGGCUGGUGAUUGUGGGGGUGCUGGGGGAGGGAGGACACAAUCCAUUUAUUCAAUAGCAUUUCCUGAGUCCCCAGCUGGGCACUGGGGGAGACACAGUGAGUGCCACAGAGCCCCCUACUGUGCCAUUUCUGCCACUGACUGCCAGGGCAGACUCUGAGACAGAAAGUUCAGGUUCCUGCUUCAGAGCCUCCCCACCCCAGCAGUCAUUACCUCAGGGCCACCCAGCCCCCUCCAUGCCAGUCAUGAGCUCCCUCUGCCCCUCCCUUCAGUGGAGGGGAGACUUUGAAAUCAGGUGCUUGGGGGGGGGGCGCUGCUCCCAGUGGGGGUGUGAGGAACCUGGAGGAUGAAUCCCUGUCCCCCGCCCUCCCCCUACUCUAUUCUUCCUUACCCUGCCCCUUUCCACUCCAAAACCUCAAGCCUCUGGUUCACAUCUGAGUGACCUUUCCAAAGCAACUGUUCUCAGGGGGUCCUUGGGAGCCGGGAGGCUGUGACCUUAACCCACUUCUUUGGACAGUGCCUUCCUGGCACUCCACCCCCACCUGCCACCUCCUGAGAGGAACAUUUCGGCUGGUCUUGGCAAAAACAUCAGUCUAUGAUCCAGGCAGCCUGGUACAGUACCAGCUCUGCCACUGACACCACUGUGACCUUGGGAAGCCAUUUACACAUAUGGGUCUCAGUUUCUCCAUAUGUAAAAUGACUUUUGUUUAGCUUUCCUGAUUUUCAAACCUUUUUUUCAAACAGUGAAUCCUCUUGUUUAAAUUGUAAAUCAUGUGGCAUCUCUGUUCUCUGUGGUAACAUAGGAAAAAGGUCGGGGGUUCUUUGGUCAAAAUAGGGGUGGGCUUCAUGCCCCAGCGGUUAGUCCAUGACACACGAAUGCACACAUACGUGUGCGCACAGAUCAGCUCCUGGGCACUGCAGAGUCCACUUCACAAACGUAUGAACUCUGAAAUCCUUUCCUGCUCAAACAUUCUGGGACCCUGACAGGACCGGGAGCUCUAGAACCAGGGGUGCCGACAGCUCUAAGGAGGAGGCUGUGAUUUCAGACCCCUGGGCCUGGGGCUGGGGCUUGAGCCAGCAGGAGUUCCUUUCCACACUUGGGUCCAAAGUCACUGCCUGGGCAAACCCUCACUGCUCUCUGCCCUCCCCACCCAUCCAAGCCAGAGGUCAGAUAGGCUUAUCUGAUGCUGAGCCCCCUUAGAGGGGUGGCGGGGGCCAAGUGGAGACAGAGUGUCCUUCAUCAGUGGGGAGGGGCAGCAGGUUGGGUGGCAGGCUCUGGGAGUUCUUCUCUGGAAUCCCUCUCACAUGCCUCGGAGGAGGGUCAGAGUGGUAGGGUGGGAGGGCCAGCAGGGCCCUGCAGUGGCUGAGGGCUGGGGGCUGACCCCAGGAAGCCCAAGGCGGGCAGCAUAGGUAGGGGAGACUCAGGGAGCUGCACCACUCCAUCCACAAGUGUGAGAAUUUGAUACCAACAGGGAACGCAGGUAGGACAGGGCCCAUCAGACACUGAUGACAGGAAGGCAAGAGUGAAGAGAGGAGCAAGUACAGCCCAGGGAAGAAAAAAGUCACCAAUAAGAGGCAGGCCUAGGCCUGGGCUCCCAGCUUGGGGCAGCAGAGCAGAUCCCUUCAAGGGAGAAACCACAGAUAUGCCCCAGCCUCUCCUUGAUGCUGUGAGUCAGGGGUGCUUAGAAAGGCUCGUGUUCAGUUCCAAAUGCCCAGGGUCACCACGAAGGAGGUGCUGCCCCCUCCCCUGCACCCCAAGCAACCUGCAUCUGCAUGGCCCUGGAGAGGCCAUUGCUCCUGAUUUCCCUCAGGAAACAUGGCCAGGGAGCUGCUGUGAGAGUUUUCCCCGAGUCCCCACCUCCCUGAGAUGUACAAUGAGGGAAGGGAAGAGGUAUCUCACCGACUUCUGCCCUUCCAUCUCAAACAAAGACACACACACACUCUCUCUCUCUCUCUCUCUCUCUCUCUCUCUGUCUCUCUGUCUCUCUCUCUUUCUGGCAUUUGUCCCCAGAGAGUGCCUAGAGACUUCACAGCCUUGGCCCUGGAAACCCCUAGACAGCCGCUAUGUUGCCAGGCACGGCUCUGGGCACUGAGGCUACAGCAAUGAAAAAAUCAGCCAAGUUCUCUGCCUUCAUGGUGCUCACAUUCUAGGCAGAGAAAGACAGAUGAUCAACAAGUGAAAAAAUCAUAAAGCUCAGGUCAUGGUGUGGCAAGUAUUAGAGUGGAGAGCGAUGGGGUGGGGUGGGGGCGCUGUUUUAUAUGGGGUGGUCCAAAAAUAUCUUGGUGAGGUGGUGACAUUUGAGUGGAAACCUGGACAGCAAGAAGCUAGUCGUGCUUUGGGGUCAAAAGGACUCCAAAAUUUCAGUUUUUUAAAUGGAAAACAUGUGUUUACCCAUAAACAUUAAAGAGCAGGGAAAUUAGAA